UAGAGUUUGAUCCUGGCUCAGGACGAGCGCUGGCGGCGUGCCUAAUACAUGCAAGUCGAACGAACUCUGGUAUUGAUUGGUGCUUGCAUCAUGAUUUACAUUUGAGUGAGUGGCGAACUGGUGAGUAACACGUGGGAAACCUGCCCAGAAGCGGGGGAUAACACCUGGAAACAGAUGCUAAUACCGCAUAACAACUUGGACCGCAUGGUCCGAGCUUGAAAGAUGGCUUCGGCUAUCACUUUUGGAUGGUCCCGCGGCGUAUUAGCUAGAUGGUGGGGUAACGGCUCACCAUGGCAAUGAUACGUAGCCGACCUGAGAGGGUAAUCGGCCACAUUGGGACUGAGACACGGCCCAAACUCCUACGGGAGGCAGCAGUAGGGAAUCUUCCACAAUGGACGAAAGUCUGAUGGAGCAACGCCGCGUGAGUGAAGAAGGGUUUCGGCUCGUAAAACUCUGUUGUUAAAGAAGAACAUAUCUGAGAGUAACUGUUCAGGUAUUGACGGUAUUUAACCAGAAAGCCACGGCUAACUACGUGCCAGCAGCCGCGGUAAUACGUAGGUGGCAAGCGUUGUCCGGAUUUAUUGGGCGUAAAGCGAGCGCAGGCGGUUUUUUAAGUCUGAUGUGAAAGCCUUCGGCUCAACCGAAGAAGUGCAUCGGAAACUGGGAAACUUGAGUGCAGAAGAGGACAGUGGAACUCCAUGUGUAGCGGUGAAAUGCGUAGAUAUAUGGAAGAACACCAGUGGCGAAGGCGGCUGUCUGGUCUGUAACUGACGCUGAGGCUCGAAAGUAUGGGUAGCAAACAGGAUUAGAUACCCUGGUAGUCCAUACCGUAAACGAUGAAUGCUAAGUGUUGGAGGGUUUCCGCCCUUCAGUGCUGCAGCUAACGCAUUAAGCAUUCCGCCUGGGGAGUACGGCCGCAAGGCUGAAACUCAAAGGAAUUGACGGGGGCCCGCACGAGCGGUGGAGCAUGUGGUUUAAUUCGAAGCUACGCGAAGAACCUUACCAGGUCUUGACAUACUAUGCAAAUCUAAGAGAUUAGACGUUCCCUUCGGGGACAUGGAUACAGGUGGUGCAUGGUUGUCGUCAGCUCGUGUCGUGAGAUGUUGGGUUAAGUCCCGCAACGAGCGCAACCCUUAUUAUCAGUUGCCAGCAUUAAGUUGGGCACUCUGGUGAGACUGCCGGUGACAAACCGGAGGAAGGUGGGGAUGACGUCAAAUCAUCAUGCCCCUUAUGACCUGGGCUACACACGUGCUACAAUGGAUGGUACAACGAGUUGCGAACUCGCGAGAGUAAGCCAAUCUCUUAAAGCCAUUCUCAGUUCGGAUUGUAGGCUGCAACUCGCCUACAUGAAGUCGGAAUCGCUAGUAAUCGCGGAUCAGCAUGCCGCGGUGAAUACGUUCCCGGGCCUUGUACACACCGCCCGUCACACCAUGAGAGUUUGUAACACCCAAAGUCGGUGGGGUAACCUUUUAGGAACCAGCCGCCUAAGGUGGGACAGAUGAUUAGGGUGAAGUCGUAACAAGGUAACC
rnacentral:rRNA from 1 species